rnacentral:rRNA from 1 species
GAUUAUGGCUCAGAACGAACGCUGGCGGCAGGCCUAAACAUGCAAGUUGAACGGCCAUAGCAAUAUGGCAGUAGCGCAAGGGUGAGUAAUGUAUGGGAACGUAUCUUUUGGUGGGGAAUAUUCUUUGGAAACGAAGAGCAAUACCGCAUAAGCCCUACGGGGGAAAGAUUUAUCGCCGAUUGAGCGGCCCAUAUUGGAUUAGCUAGUUGGUUGGGUAACGGCUGACCAAGGCAAUGAUCCAUAGCUGGUCUGAGAGGACGAUCAGCCACACUGGGACUGAGACACGGCCCAGACUCCUACGGGAGGCAGCAGUUAGGAAUAUUGGACAAUGGGGGCAACCCUGAUCCAAGCCAUGCCGCGUGAGUGUUAAGGCCUUCGGGUUGUAAAGCUCUUUUGUAUGGGAAAAUGAUGAUGGUACCAUAAGAAUAAGCACCGGCUAACUUCGUGCCAGCCGCUGC